UCAAUAAAUUUUUCGUGUUAUGGCUCCAUCAAGGUGUUGAUGAUACUGCCAAUGUCGAGGUUGGAUAAGACACGGCUAGUAUAUCAAUCUUAUCAUAUUACGAUCAUAGUGUUCGGUGGAGUAUCCGAUCAAUGUGCAAAAAAUACAAAUUACCACUAACUAAUAGACUACAUACAACUAUUAAACAAUAUGAACACUACAGUACCCCUAGUGUAAGUUUUAUCGACAUCAUAACGUGACGAACGCGUUUGCGUUAAGUGUCAUUUUGUAUAGGAUUUUGAGUUUCCAAAACGUCCCGCUUGGCGCGCUCUUUCUAAAUCACAUACAAAAUGAGACUAAACGCAAACGCGUACGUCACGUUUCGAAAUCGAAUUUAUUUACACUAGGGGUACAGAACAACUACAGUAUAAAAACAGACCUAUUCAGCCACGAUUGAAAAUUAUUUAAAAAUAUUUUAAACGGCUGUUAAAUUAAUCAAAUUAAAUAAUUUUAAACAAAAACAAAAAUAUUAAAUUAUAAACGUCACUAUUUUAAAAGAAAAACUCAUUCAUGCUACUUGGUUUAUAUGAAUAAGUGACAUAAUUAAAAAAAAACUAUUACUCCCUAGGGAGUAUCAGCUUUUGUCCUUCAGCACACCUGCAUGAAAUAAGAUCUUUUUCGAGCAAAUGUGAUGAAAAAGUAAAAAUACAUCAUUAAGUAUUUGUACAUCCCUUUCAUGAUCAACGAUAUUUAAAAGAACAGUGUCCUUUUUGGAAGAUUGGAGGCUUUCCUGACAACUUAUUUAACUAUUUCUGCAUGGUCGCUAAGCGUAUUUGAUGAAAGCCAGCCCUCAAAUACCAGCGCUGGCGCCUUUUCAACACUUAUCAGAACAGAUCGUGGUGUAAUCAAAGUUCUCGAUAAAAAAGCGCCGUGCUGGUUAUCAAUUUGUGUCAUUCAAACCCCUUUUUUAACGCACGUUCAAAAAACUUGUGCGACGAGGCCUUAAUAUUUUUUAAUUUUUAUUUUCUUGUUUAUAUUAUAGUGAAUGCAUUAUAAACUAACUUUCGAACUGUCAGUGUCACUGUCAAGUAGUUGUCAAUGUCAUAUUCAUAUCACAUUCGCAUUAUGUAGCACGGUUUCCCCGAGAUCCUCAGCUCACGCGGUCUACGACUCAAACUCACUGUUUUAUUGAUUAGAGAUUCGUACACUUGCAGUUUAAAUUUACAUUCUCUCGAAAUGUUCCGCUUACCUUUUGGUGAAAGGGUCGACCCCAUGGAGGAAAAACGACAAGCUAGAGAAAACACCAUCAAUAGUGUUAUUACAUUCUGUAUACUUUGCGCUGCCAUAAGAGUCGCCCCACUGAUCCUGGAGCACAGCGGCAUAUAAACAACCCCAACAGCCAAUGUUCAAUUACUCUGCCAUUCUGUUUUGCACUACCAUCACAGUGAUCUUUCAUUACUCCUCCAUGGCCUGUUUCAGUCCAAAUAUUAUGAAAUAAACUUACUGUAACUGUUAUUUUAA